rnacentral:rRNA from 1 species
AAGACCUUGCGCUUUUGGAGCGGCCGAUGCCUGAUUAGCUUGUUGGUAAGGUAAAAGCUUACCAAGGCUUCGAUCAGUAGCUGGUCUGAGAGGACGGCCAGCCACACUGGGACUGAGACACGGCCCAGACUCCUACGGGAGGCAGCAGUGAGGAAUUUUGGACAAUGGGGGCAACCCUGAUCCAGCCAUGCCGCGUGAGUGAAGAAGGCCUUCGGGUUGUAAAGCUCUUUCAGCCGGAACGAAACGGUUACGGUUAAUACCCGUGAUUACUGACGGUACCGGAAGAAGAAGCACCGGCUAACUACGUGCCAGCAGCCGCGGUAAUACGUAGGGUGCGAGCGUUAAUCGGAAUUACUGGGCGUAAAGCGUGCGCAGGUGGUUUUGUAAGUCAGAUGUGAAAGCCCCGGGCUCAACCUGGGAACU